AUUGAACGCUGGCGGCAUGCUUUACACAAGCAAGUCGAACGGUAACAGGCCUUCGGGCGCUGACGAGUGGCGAACGGGUGAGUAAUGCAUCGGAACGUGCCCAGUCGUGGGGGAUAACGCAGCGAAAGCUGUGCUAAUACCGCAUACGAUCUGCGGAUGAAAGCGGGGGACCUGCGGGCCUCGCGCGAUUGGAGCGGCCGAUGUCAGAUGAGGUAGUUGGUGGGGUAAAGGCUCACCAAGCCAACGAUCUGUAGCUGGUCUGAGAGGACGACCAGCCACACUGGGACUGAGACACGGCCCAGACUCCUACGGGAGGCAGCAGUGGGGAAUUUUGGACAAUGGGCGCAAGCCUGAUCCAGCAAUGCCGCGUGCAGGAAGAAGGCCUUCGGGUUGUAAACUGCUUUUGUACGGAGCGAAAAGGCUCCCUCUAAUACAGGGGGCUCAUGACGGUACCGUAAGAAUAAGCACCGGCUAACUACGUGCCAGCCGCCGCGGUAACAC
rnacentral:rRNA from 1 species